AGGUGAGGUGAGAGAGGCCUUUGAGCGUUCAGCUCCUACGUGCGUUGGUCCUGUCUGUGGGAUCUCUGAGGAAAAUGACUAUUUUGGUUGGAGUUAUAUAGAAACCUUUUUGAAACGUGUGGUCCUCAUUUGUAUUCCAUUUUUGAUCGGUGCAGAAAAUCUAUCAACUUCCCUUAGGGCUCAACAAGCACACUUUGUUAGGGCUCAACAAGCUUUGUAGCUAUUCAACAGAUAUCAUCUGUCCAGUCAGUCAUCCAUUGGGCACACACUGGUUGAAUCAAUGUUGUGUCCACAUCAUUUCAAUGAAAUUACGUUGAACCAACAUUGACUUGACAUCCGUGCCAAGUGGGAUGCCUUCGCCUAUUCAAUGAAACCUGGGACUGUGAUAUUGAUUUAGAAUUUUGGUCGAAGUUCUCAGUUCUGGACAUUCCAGCGCCUAUAUUCACAGGGUGUCUCAGAGUGCUGAUCUAGGAUCAGGUCAAUCCCUGUCUUAUUCGUUAUGAUCUGAAAGGUAAAACUGAUCCUAGAUGUAUUGUGAAUACGGGCCUUGGUCUCAUAAAGAGUUGCGGUCCUCAGUGUAAGAAUCCCUGUUGCAUGUUGGCCUUUCCGAUCGUCAGUAAGCGAGAAGGAGAGAUUCAAGAUCCAGUCUUGGUAUUAUGUACUUGACCAUCCUAAUUCUUUAUCCAAUUCUCAGUUAGUCCCCUCUGUUCCUAAGCCGGGUCUAUGGCCUUGUUCCAAACCAUGCACCUCUAAAGCUGCAACCAGAGAGGAAGUCUGUGAGGAUUCCCUUUUGAGGCCUUAUAGGGACGAGGUAUUAGGAACUAUGGUUUAGUCCCCAGUCUUCCAGUCCAGGAUGGAGCCCGAUUCGCUUUUAUUAGAUCAAAUCAAACCGUUGAACUUGACCGUGAAGAUCGCUAACGCGUCACAUUAAACGUGACAGCACUAAAUCCGACAUCUUAUCAGCAUCUAUGAGUCCGUUCAGCGGUUUGAUCCGGCACACCGCCGUAUUUAGCCGUAAGAUAAACAUCUUGACGAGGUGCUCUAGAUGCCAUUUCCUUCAACAUUUUUUAAGCCAUUUGAUGAAAAUUGAGUUUGGGUAUUUAAGUGGUUGAAUAUAUAAUGUGUGAAAUUAGAAAUGAAUGUUGUGGAAGAUUUCAUGCAUUUGGUGUCCCUCAACAGGUUUGCUGACUAAUUUGUACAUUUUAAUUUAAUGUCUUCAUGCAACUUUAUUAUUUUUCUUUUUUUUCUUUUUAUAAAGUGAACGUUUCAGGUCAAUGUUAAGUUCUAUGAUAAAAUGGACAACUGCUGUACCACCAUCAAACUGCAACAACUGAGAUUUUAAUAUUGUAGUGUGUGUGUGUCUAUAGCUGUACCCGAAGGUGCUACCCUUACGCACUGUAGAUUCUCCUUUGACUGUACGCCCCCUUCUCUGCGGGACUGUGGUAUGACAAAAGAAAAGACGAGUCAUAUUGCCAAUUCCUUAUUGUCAUUGCCUGUGGCUUUUUAGGGUGCAUCCUCUUGGCUUAAAUGUGAAUAUUUUAGAUCUUCUCCAUGCUGUGCCAACAUUUUACAAACAACUUAGGGAGAUUGGGGGUUCCUGAUUUAAUAUAGAUGGUAGUCUAGCUCAGUGGGAUUUAGAUUAGAUAGAUUUUGGGAAACAAAGACUUUAGAAUGUGGUUUGGAUACAUGACCCCCCUCUGCCUUUGGUACCCUAAGGGGGUCACUCUGUUCAUAAUGAGAAGCAACCUCAGAAAGGUGGUUCUUGUGCACCCUCAGUUCGUCACCUAGCAACUGUGGCAGCCACUGUGCCAACACUCGGCCAUCUUGGAUUUCUCUCCACUUUCUCUCAUUCUCUCUUGUUUUCUGUUUGUCUCUCAUUCUCUCUUACCCCCUCUCUCUCCCUCCUCGUUCUCUCUCUCAGCCUGAAGGACAAAUUGACUUGGUGCCUCUGCAGACCCCUGAUAGCUUAUUCAUUAAACUCACCGUUCACUCACAAUUGUUUGUUUUUUUUACUUUUAAACUGUAAAAUGGAAUAUGGAAUUGAUAGAUUUCCCCCACAUUCCUCUCACCAUACAGUGGCCCCUUUUCAUUAUGGCACAGACGAAGCAACCACCGUUCAAGGAAGCUUACAUUGAGCCUGCUUACUUUGAUGAAAAUAUAAUGAUUGUUGUUGAUUUAUUAUGAUGGUCAUUUUAGAUUUUAAGUCCAAUGUCAAUGAUGGCAGUAGAGUAGAGUCAGAAUAGCUGUUUGUUGGGUGACCGUUUACCCUUCACACUGGGGAAACGCUGAACCCUACUCCUUGCCCUAGUGUCCGUUUCCUUGACUACAGGCUGGAGUGGCAGUUAUUUGGCCCAAUAGUCCCAGACUCCCGGCCCCUUCGUUUCCUGGGAGGAGGUCAGAGGUGAUGACUGCUGAAAAGGGCAACACGCACACAGACACACAGGAACCCUCCCUCAACAGUUAACAGAUCGUCUCGACCUGAACCCCCAACACUGGCUAUCCCACGUCUAUGUUGAGGAGAAGGAGCCAUUUCAGACUCAACCCAGGCCUGAGGCGGUUGCCGUGGUGGGGAAGGGGAGCUUCAGGUACUGGUACCACUGUUUGAGUUGCCGCGGCAACAACAGCAGCACGUUCUCCGUGAGGAAGAGCAGUGCUUCCUGCAUGGCCGGUCGAA
ensembl:lncRNA